rnacentral:lncRNA from 1 species
CGCUAGAGACUCUGCCUCCUAAGAGACACGUUAAGCUGACUCUGUGUCUCUGUCAUUCAUCUUCACUCCCCAGGUCAGAGAGAACAAAGCAGCAGCUCUAGGUCCCGGAAUAAGGCUGGCCGAGUGGGUCAGCUACAGGUGGUGCCCCAGCAUGGGGCUCGGGACCUGGGCUUGCCUACAUAUAGGUGUUUUCUCCCUCCCCACAGAUCCAAGGGGAAGAAUGGGGCAGGUCUGGGUCCUGUUUAGGAAGGGUGGUCUGUAGCCAGAAGAAGACAGGAGAGGUGCUGGAGAAGCAACACAUGUGGCCCCCUUGGUCCUAGAGAGAGGAGGGGGUGCUGUUUCUCCUCACAGUCACAUCUCAGGACAGUGAACCAGGUGGUGCAGUCCUUGCCCCUGCAGAGCUCACCUUCCAGAGAAGAUCCUAGACAGAUAAAUAGGCACACGCAGCAGCGUCACUUAGCAUCUGGGUGGGUAGGGGAACAGCCCACCCACCCUGGGGCUGUAAAGGCAAGGGAGGUGCUAAUUAGGUGGGGUGGCAGAGAAAGCUGCUAGGAGGGUGCAAAAUGUGCAGAAAGUACAGUGCACUCAGGGUUAACCACAGCAUUUCUGGAAGAAAAGAAUACAAGCAGAGGAAAGAGCAAGUUCAAAGGCCCUGUGGUGAGAAUGCUCAGUGUGGCCAGAGUGGAACGACACAGAGGGAGGAGAGGAGAUCUGAUAGCUAUGCAAGGCCCAGAUCCUGGGCUCAGGUUGUAUCUAGGCCUUGGCAAGGAGUCUAGAUUUGCUUUAGAGGGAGAAGAAACUGAUGGGGUUUUUCUGAACAGGAGAAUGCCAUGAUCCUAUUUGCAUUUACAAAGAACACUCCCAUGACUCCAUAGUGAUUUUUUAAAUAGAUACAUCCCAUCUGUACUCCAGCCUCAUCAGUAUGUUUCUUAAAUCAGUUAACUUUACUCAAGUAACAUUCUUAAGGAAAUUUGAUGUUCCACCUCUGCAAAUGAAAAAUCAGUAUUGUCUGCCAUAAAUAGAAGAAAACCCGUAAAAACAAAUACAACCAAAACAAAGAAGUGUUAUUACUUUUUCACCAAAGACUCCUAACGAUGAUGAACCUGAGCCUGGAGCCCCCUCUGUCUGAAGGAAAGUUAGUAAGCACUGGAGAACCUAAAGUCAACUAGCACCCACCUGAGACUCUCUCCACGGGGCGCUGGAGUAUCUGAAAGAAACUUGGUGCGGAAAUACGUCUCCCACAGUAGGAUACCCCAGUCCUUCAUGCUGGUUCCAGUAGCCACAAAUCAUCUCAUAGCCUUCAUGGGCACCCUGACUAGUCUUUGGGGAAAACAUCAUAAGGGAAUAUAUUUUCAAUUUGAUAUUUCAGGUAUACUUGAAAUCAAAUCAAAAGACUUCCAGGGGCUGGGGACUUAGCUCAGUGGUUCUGGAGCCUGCCUUGCAAGUGCAAGGUCCCUAGUUCGAUCUUCGGUACAAAAAAAGAAAAAGGCUUCCAUCCUUCCCCUCUGAGACCAGCUGUGCUGUCCUCUACAUGGGAUUUCUUCUCAGGGAGGCUCAUCCCCUGAGCUGGACAGCUCCCAGCUGACUGCCUCCCUGCUCAGUGGCAGCAGCAGAAAGACAGGUGCCCACAACACCAGCCCCAAAGUCCGAGGUUGCUCACCAUUGACUGCCUUGAGUCACGUGCCCUUUGCUGGACCAAUCACAGUGGCCAGAAAUGGAAUAUGGGGUCAUCAAGGCCCAGACACAGAGGUGUGGGGGCUCCCAAUAUGCCACUCUCAGGAGACAUAGGCUGCUAGAAACAACAGAUGACCCCUGUACUAGGGAACAGUUAAAAGAAAAUACUGGGCUGGGGAUUUAGCUCAGUGGUUUUGCCACCUGCUGCUGCAUAAGCACAAGGACCCGAGUUCAAUCCCUGGUAUCAAAAAAAAAAAAAAUACUAAUGCUCUUUGACAUUCUGAAAUCAAAGAUUUGAAAUCCAAACUCAUAAGUGACAGUUCAUUUUAAGUCAACUUGGCAAGGCCGUGGUGCCCAGAGAUGAGGUCAAAUAUUAUUUAGAAGUUUCUAUAAGGGUGUUUGGGGAUGAGAUUAACAUUUAAAUCAGUGGACUUUAAGGAAAGCAGAUUGCCCUCCAUAAUGUGGGGGGCCACAUCCAAUCAGGUGAAGGCCUGCAUAGAAGAAAACACUGACCUCCUGCAAGCAAAAAGAAUUCUUCAGCAGAUGUCUCAGACUUAAACAGCAGCACCAGCUCCUUCCAGGGUCUCCAGCCUGCUGCUCUACCCUGCGGGUGCUGGACUUGCCAGCCCCCAUAGCCACAGGAGCCAAUUGCUGAAGAUAAACUUCUUUCCGUAUAUGAACCAUAGGUGUUGAAAAACUUUACCCUCUGAAGGUUUGAUAAUUGGGUCUAUGAAGUAUACUGACAAUGGACAGACUAAUGGGAGAAAAGUUAUACAAAUUCCUUACCCACACAGGGGCAUCACAGGAAAGAGAAGUGACCAGUCCCAGCCCAGGGUGAUCCGGAAUCAUAUAUACCUGCUUCAGUGGGGAGGGGGAAGGGGAAGGCUAACUGGCCAUUGGGUGCCAGCCGGGGGUAAAGUAUCUGGGCACAGAGUGACCUUGGGUACACCUGCUGUGAUGGAAGUCCACCUUUCUCUGGCUGACCAGGGCCCUGGCAGGGGAUUCUUGAUUAUUGGUUGGUUCCCUUUGUAGGAUCCAACUUUAGGCAGAUAAGGGAAGCUUGGCCGAGCCCUCUCUGUGCUUGCUGUCCCCAGGUGUCCUCUCUCUGAAAUACUCCACACACUCAAGGGCAUGUUUUUGGUGGCAUCUUUUGAACUCCUCAGCACAUGUUCUGUUGAGUGUGUCUUCUGGGAGCCCUGACUCACACCACACACUGUACUUGAAUAAAGGUUACUUCCAAAGCCCCUCACCUCUGGACUGUAACCAACUUGGUGACAAACUUAGUCCAUCUCCAUAUGCUGGCAUUUGCCACGUGGAAAAGGCCAUUUGACAGAUGGAAGCUGCGGUCCCACCCCAACUCCCAUUUCCUCUCUCUCUUUAAUGUUGAUUUUAUGCUCAUUUUAGAGACCCAGUCAAAAAGAUGGAUACAAGGCCAAAUCAGUGACAAAUGAAAAAGGGAUUUAGACACCUUGAGCUUUUGUGUUGUGUGGUGUGUGUGUGUGUGUGAGAGAGAGAGAGAUUAGUACUAUCCUUCGAAGGAAGGAAGGAGGAAGCUGAAUUCCUGACAGGGCUGGGAGGAGAUGGUGCCUGAACAGACUCUUGCAGUGGACCUCCACCUAGCCCUGUCUCCUAGGAUGAGGGUCCUCCAGUUUUCCUCCAGGGAUUGAAUUCACCUGACCCCACUGAUGGCCCAGUAUGAGCUCUUCCUGCUGCCAUCUGCUGCCCAGGGCCCAGGAUACCCUGUUCCUGCCCCUCCAAUGCCUCCUGCUCCCCAGACCUUCUGGUCGUUCUGCAUUUCUGUGCUCCAGGGUCUAACGUGGAUUCUGUGCCCUGUGACCUCAAAACCCAACAUAACUGAAGAAUGAAAAAAUCUUUAAAAUCACAAGGAAGGCGGCGGCAGAGGUGAUGGCGGCGGCAGAGGUGAUGGCGGCAGCAGCACCACCUGAGAACAGAGCUGGGCCCGGGCAUGGUGGCGCGUUCUGCACUGUGAGAGCGCAGCGGCCGCUGGAUCGCCAUGCGCCAGCGGCUCCAAAGCUCGGGCCUUUGGCCCUUCGCCUCGGCGACGGGAGGCAGCGUCCCGGAGACGAGACUGCGGGCGCUGAGCAAGCCUUGGGCAUCGUGAGGCUGGAUCUCCCCCGCAGCCACGUGGAUUUCCCUGUGAUCCUCUAUGAGCUGUGAGCCUGGUGGGUGAAGACACAAGCACCCCCUCUGACCCAGCAAGAAACUUCCUGUCACAAGGUGUAGCUUCCAUUGAGCACCCCAGGCUGGGGCCACAGCCCUUCGUGAACUCUGUUGGCCCAGAACCUUCAGCUGUAAGCAGGGCAGCCCUCGGUAUAAAUCGGGUAUUGGUUUGUGUGUGGACAAGAGAGGUUUGGUGUCUGGCAAAGGCUAACGGGAGAGUUACCAGCAGAGCUUUCCCAGCCACAGGGCAUCUGCCAGUCAGGAAUGUGUGGUUCCUGGUUCCUUGCCUGGCUGGUCUGCUUUCUUCCAAGCUUGCCUAGGGCCCAGCCUCACUAAAAGCUACAGCACUUUCCAUGCAAAAUCUGCCUUCUUCCAGCCCCUGGACUUUGGGAGCUCUACACAAGUGGGAACUUCCUUUCCCUCACUUCCUUUACCCCCUAGUCAGAGCAUUUCAGCCAUUUCUACCUCUAUACUUCCUGAUUGGACAGAGGCUGAGGACAGCACCCACCUGAUGCUUCCCACCUACCUGCCAUUUGUUCCCACUUUCACAUGGACAGUUUGCUGGCUGUUAACUGGAAUGAGGACUGGUAUGGGUAGCUUCUCCUUUUCCCAGGGCUUGGCUAAUUGCUCCCCAGUGCAACUAGUUAUUGCCCUCUCCUCAGUUAAGAGGUACAGGCCAGAGUCAGAACAGGCUAUGGGCGUCUGUGCCUAUGGGAAGUUGCCCCAAGCCUAUUCUAACCGCCUCCCCCCUUGCCUUUGCACCAGCCAUUCCCCCUACUAUCCAGUUGGGAGGGUCCACUACCCUGUGAUGAAGACCAACAUACUAGGGCUGGUGCCUGUAGCGCUAUGAGGAGACCACCACUCUUCUGCCACAAUAUCUUCACCCCUUCUGGAUCAGUCAAGGGAAAGUACUAGGGCCCCUUGAAAAGCACAGAAAGGAGGGCAAAAACAUAAAAGGGAAUACUGUACUUAAAGUGUGAAGAUUUGUAAAUAGUCUAGUCCAUGCUGAUGUUAGGGCAGAGUCUGAUUUCUACACAGAAAUGACUUUCUUUUUCUUUUAAUUUCUUAUUGUGCAAGUUCUAUGCUUCUAGCAUGGGACAUGGCUUGGGGAUGAUGCUCCCCAGUAUAGGAAGAUUGUUGUGCUAUUUGUUCGAUUUCAAUAAAAUUAUUUGUAGAUCCUGUAAAAAAAUAAAAUCAGAAGGAAAAAAAUUGUUUAAAGUUGCCAUGGCUACCAAGUGAAAAGUGCAACAUUCUGUAGCAAAUUCUGCAAACUGUAAGAUUUCAUUAUUAAAUACUUUGUUUUCAAUAAAAAACUGAUGUUAAUGUUUAUAAAAUAAUUGAAGAAAUGUUCAAAGUGCUCAUUGUCACUCCUUGUGUUUGAGAAAGAAGUACAGCAGUGAAAUUGUUUUGGAAAAUAUAAAAGUUGUUGGUGAUUUGGUUUUAAGUUGUUAUCUCUUACAUCUUCACGUCACUCAGUAAGCUUUUCUGCUCUCUGUCAACCUUAAAAUGCAUAAACAUCACAAAUAUGAGAAAUAUAUAUCUUAUUUUGAAUAAAAAUUAGUAUUGCAAAAAUUAGUGUUGGGCAUUUUUUUAUAUUAU